rnacentral:rRNA from 1 species
AGUUGGUGGAUUGAUUUGUCUGGUUAAUUCCGACAACGAACGAGACCUUCGCCGUUUACUAGAGGACCUUUCUUCGGAUUGUAUUCUCUUCUCAACGGGACUUUGUGCGUCUAGUGCAAUGAAGCGAAGGCAAUAACAGGU